UGAGGAAUAUUGGACAAUGGAUGGAAAUCUGAUCCAGCCAUGCCGCGUGCAGGAAGACGGUCCUAUGGAUUGUAAACUUCUUUUGACGGGGAGCAAUAAGGUCUACGUGUAGACCGAUGAGAGUACUCGUUGAAUAAGCAUCGGCUAACUCCGUGCCAGCAGCCGCGGUAAUACGGAGGAUGCAAGCGUUAUCCGGAUUUAUUGGGUUUAAAGGGUGCGUAGGCUGUUUGUCAAGUCAGAGGUGAAAGGCCGCAGCUCAACUGUGGAAUUGCCUUUGAUACUGGCAGGCUUGAAUACUGUUGCCGUGGGAGGAAUGAGUAGUGUAGCGGUGAAAUGCAUAGAUAUUACUCAGAACACCGAUUGCGAAGGCAUCUCACGAAGCAGACAUUGACGCUGAGGCACGAAAGCGUGGGGAUCAAACAGGAUUAGAUACCCUGGGUAGU
rnacentral:rRNA from 1 species